AUACGGAGGGUCCGAGCGUUAAUCGGAAUUACUGGGCGUAAAGCGUACGUAGGUGGCUUGAUUAGUCGGAUGAGAAAGCCCUGGGCUCAACCUGGGAACUGCAUUCAAUACUGUCAGGCUAGAGUAUAGUAGAGGGAAGUGGAAUUCCGGGUGUAGCGGUGAAAUGCGUAGAUAUCCGGAGGAACACCAGUGGCGAAGGCGGCUUCCUGGACUAAUACUGACACUGAGGUACGAAAGCGUGGGGAGCAAACAGGAUUAGAAACCCCAGUAGUCC
rnacentral:rRNA from 1 species